rnacentral:rRNA from 1 species
CAGAUUGCAGGCUGCAACUCGCCUGCAUGAAGUCGGAAUUGCUGUAAUCGCAGAUCAGCAUGCUGCGGUGAAUACGUUCCCGGGCCUUGUACACACCGCCCGUCACACCAUGGGAGCCGGUAAUACCCGAAGUCAGUAGUCCAACCUCGUGAGGACGCUGCCGAAGGUAGGAUUGGCGACUGGGGUGAAGUCGUAACAAGGUAAC